AGGAGAACCUGGUGGACUCAAUCUUCUAGCAAUCAGAGUGCAGCUACUUUUGGUGUGACUGACCUGUCACUCCUGUUUGAGAGCAUGAGAAGCAAACAGUGCUGGUAGCAUGUAAAUUCAGAACUGUGUAAAAGUUUCUACAAACUGUGAAAGACAGCCGGUUUUUCACCUAUGGGCUAUGCGGACCAUCAUACAAAAAAUAAAGAUGAGUCAAAUAAAUUAAAGGCCCUUUGAGUGAAAUCCAGUUCAAACUUCACAGUGGAAACUAUCCCUUUCAAGUGGGGAAUUGCACAGUAAACCUAACCUGAAAAACUUGAC